UAUUUGUAAAGAAAAAAGGAAGUCCUGCUAGAACAGAACUUCCCCUGUAGAGCUGUGUAAGACGGUGGCUGAACUUAACGAUGUUUAAUA
rnacentral:sRNA from 1 species